rnacentral:sRNA from 1 species
UAGCGACGCUGCAGUGUCAGCACUUGAC